AGCAGCCGCGGUAAUUCCAGCUCCAAUAGCGUAUAUUAAAGUUGUUGCAGUUAAAAAGCUCGUAGUUGAAUUUCGGGGUUAGUAGGUUGGUCAUGCCUCUGGUAUGUACUGGUCUCACUGAUUCCUCCUUCCUUAUGAACCGUAAUGCCAUUAAUUUGGUGUUGCGGGGAAUUUGGACUGUUACUUUGAAAAAAUUAGAGUGUUUAAAGCAAGCUAACGCUUGAAUACAUUAGCAUGGAAUAAUGAAAUAGGACGUUCGAUCUUAUUUUGUUGGUUUCUAGGAUUGACGUAAUGAUUAAUAGGGAUAGUUGGGGGCAUUAGUAUUCAAUUGUCAGAGGUGAAAUUCUUGGAUUUAUUGAAGACUAACUACUGCGAAAGCAUUUGCCAAGGAUGUUUUCAUUAAUCAAGAACGAAAGUUAGGGGAUCGAAGACGAUCAGAUACCGUCGUAGUCUUAACCAUAAACUACGCCGACUAGGGAUCGGAUGAUGUUAAUUUUUUAAUGACUCA
rnacentral:rRNA from 1 species